GUGUCAGCAGCCGCGGUAAUACGAGAGGUCCAAACGUUAUUCGGAAUCACUGGGCUUACAGAGUUCGUAGGCGGUUCUACAAGUGGGGUGUGAAAGCCCUCGGCUCAACCGAGGAACUGCGCUCCAAACUGUAGAACUAGAGGGAGAUAGAGGUGAGCGGAACUGAUGGUGGAGCGGUGAAAUGCGUUGAUAUCAUCAGGAACACCGGAGGCGAAGGCGGCUCACUGGGUCUCUUCUGACGCUGAGGAACGAAAGCUAGGGGAGCAAACGGGAUUAGAUACCCCGGUAGUCC
rnacentral:rRNA from 1 species